rnacentral:lncRNA from 13 species
GGGAGAUGAAAAGCAGAAAAGGAAUGCUGCUUCAAACUCCAAUUCAAAUUGUAUCAAUUACACACUUGUAAUCGAUACUAGAUAACAUCCUACUGCAAUGCUGCUUUAUUCUACAUGAGAGAGAGAGGAGGGGGGGGAGGGGGAGAAAGAAAAGUGCUAACAAGUUGCACCUAUCAUUUUUAAGAAGAUUCGAUCAAGUUUUAUAUUUGAAAAUGUAAUGCAAGAAAUAAAAAAAAAUAGAAACGUGAAAAAAAUGUGGUUGUGAUGCACAAUUUUAUUCUCUGCGUAAGUGAAGAGUACAGAUAAUCCUUAUUAACUGUAAGUUCAGUUAAUACAGGCACCGCAGGUGUACUUGUUUUUUUUUAGCCAUCUAUUUGCAUAAAUAGAGUAAAAACGUAAGCAAAUGUAAAAUAGGAAGUACAAUAUUAAAUGUUAGGGCAAUUAAUAAAAUCCCGAAGGAGAAAGCUAAAAAAAACACUAGUUUUUCAUUCUUUUCCAGAGCUGUAAACAUAGGAUGUCAAAGAAUCUCUAAUCAACAACGUUAUACUGCUGCGUUUAUAAUAAUUUCAGAAUAUAUUACUCAUUUAUAAUAUUAUUACACAUAACUGCAGUAAUAAUAGCAGUAAUAAUCAAUUGAUGCUACUAAUUUAUAUUAAUCUACAAUAGUAAAGUCUCUACAAAGUCUCUCUACAAUAGGAAUUACAAUAGUAAAAAUAAUAAUAAAUCUGUAAAAUGUAUCUCUGUAUAUAGAAUGUUAAACAGCUGAGACAAAAUUUACUUCAACAUAGAAAAAUAGUUUAUCAAUAUGUAGAGAUAAGUUCGAUUAUUCAAUUGGAUAUUCGUCCAGAUAUCCAUGUAUCAAUCCGAAAAUUUCAUCUAAUUGCACGCUUGAUUCGUGACUUCGAGGCAAAAUUUAUCAUAAUAAAACCUGUUGCGAUACAGUCUCGGUAUUUCGAUAUGGACGCAUCGUGUCGCUUAUGUACAAACUAAUCCUUAACAUGCUAUCAUUACGUAAUAAUGGUUCGUAGAACAACUUUAAAGCAACUUAUCUACAUUACACGUGUAUACGAUCAUAAUUUUAUAACUGAAACAGUAUCUUAAACAUGAUUGCAUAAAGAUCAGUUACCUUAUUAA